AAAUUUAGGUGUCAUUGACGGUUUGACUAACCAUUUGCAGUUAGAAGAAGACACUUAAAGAGGUAGCAUUUCAACGACAGACUAGUAAUUUGCAGUUAAAAGAAGAAAUUGAUGUGUAAUUUUCCUGCUUAACUAACCAUUUGCAGUAAAAAAAGGCACUUCCGGCAGCUUUCGAACGCCAAAGUAACAUUUUGCAGUUAAAAUAAGAAAUUUAAGUGCAAUUUUCCCGCUUGACUAACCAUUUGCAGUUGAAAGAAGGAAUCCAAGUGUUAAUUCCCUGCUUGAGUAACUAUUUACAGCUAAAAGAAGG